UUUGCAUAUAAUUGAAUCAACUUGUCUUCCCUGGUUAUUAUUAAAAGAGUUUUUUCAGCUUUCUUAGUAAAUAGAAGUAUUCCACAAUCACCUGCAUAUGGUCCUGAUGACUUUCAACUGAUGUCCAAGAGCAGACUAUUCAGGGGAUGAACAGUUCCUAAACAGGGACAGGCUUCUGUCAGAUAAGUUGAGAUACCAAUUUGAAUGAAACUGAAAGGGAGUGGCGUCUGAAGUCGGUCUUAACUGUACAAAAAUAGCACAGGAAGCUAUAUUAAUGCAGGUUGUUCCAAUAAUUACCUUUAGAGGGCUGAAGGGCAAACACAAGAUUUAUAGGCUU